CUCUUCGGGGAUGAUUAAACCGGCGCACGGGUGAGUAACACGUGAGUGACCUGCCUUUUAGACUGGAACAACUUACCGAAAGGUGAGCUAAUGCCGGAUGAGUUAUAUAAGUGCAUGUUUAUAUAGGAAAAGUUGGGGAGACCUGACGCUGAAAGAUGGACUCGCGUCCCAUUAGCUAGUUGGUAGGGUAAUGGCCUACCAAGGCGACGAUGGGUAGCCGGCCUGAGAGGGUGGCCGGCCACACUGGGACUGAGACACGGCCCAGACUCCUACGGGAGGCAGCAGUGGGGAAUUUUGCGCAAUGCUCGUAAGAGUGACGCAGCGACGCCGCGUGAAUGACGAAGGCCUUCGGGUCGUAAAGUUCUUUCGACAGGGAAGAAAAUGCCUAUAAGUAACUGUGUAUGUAUUGACGGUACCUGUAUAAGCAGCCCCGGCUAACUCCGUGCCAGCAGCCGCGGUAAUACGGAGGGGGCGAGCGUUGUUCGGAGUGACUGGGCGUAAAGAGCACGUAGGCGGUGUUGUAAGUCAUUAGUCAAAGACUAGAGCUCAACUUUAGUAAGGCUAGUGAUACUAUAAUACUAGAGUAUCAGAGAGGAUUGCAGAAUUCCUGGUGUAGCGGUGAAAUGCGUAGAUAUCAGGAGGAAUACCGUUAGCGAAGGCGGCAAUCUGGCUGGAAACUGACGCUGAGGUGCGAAAGCGUGGGUAGCAAACAGGAUUAGAUACCCUGGUAGUCCACGCUGUAAACGAUGGAUGCUAGGUGUUGGGCUUUUAAGUUCAGUGCCGCAGCAAACGCGAUAAGCAUCCCGCCUGGGGAGUACGUUUGCAA
rnacentral:rRNA from 1 species